rnacentral:rRNA from 1 species
CCUACGGGCGGCAGCAGUGAGGAAUAUUGGUCAAUGGACGAGAGUCUGAACCAGCCAAGUAGCGUGAAGGAUGACUGCCCUAUGGGUUGUAAACUUCUUUUAUAAAGGAAUAAAACGAGGCACGUGUGCCUUUUUGCAUGUACUUUAUGAAUAAGGAUCGGCUAACUCCGUGCCAGCAGCCGCGGUAAUACGGAGGAUCCGAGCGUUAUCCGGAUUUAUUGGGUUUAAAGGGAGCGUAGAUGGGUUGUUAAGUCAGUUGUGAAAGUUUGCGGCUCAACCGUAAAAUUGCAAUUGAUACUGGCAGUCGUGAGUACAGUUGAGGUAGGCGGAAUUCGUUGUGUAGCGGUGAAAUGCUUAGAUAUCACGAAGAACCCCGAUUGCGAAGGCAGCUUACUAAACUGUGACUGACAUUGAUGCUCGAAAGUGUGGGUAUCAAACAGGAUUAGAUACCCGUGUAGUC